AGAGUUGAUCCUGGCUCAGGAUGAACGCCAGCUACAGGCUUAACACAUGCAAGUCGAGGGGCAUCAGGGAGAAAGCUUGCUUCUUGCUGGCGACCGGCGCACGGGUGAGUAACGCGUAUCCAACCUUCCCCCCAGUAGGGCAUAGCCCGGCGAAAGUCGGAUUAAUACCCUAUGUUGUGUCAUGAGGACAUCUGAAUAACACCAAAGAUUUAUCGCUGGGGGAUGGGGAUGCGUCCGAUUAGGUUGUUGGCGGGGUAACGGCCCACCAAGCCCGCGAUCGGUAGGGGUUCUGAGAGGAAGGUCCCCCACACUGGUACUGAGACACGGACCAGACUCCUACGGGAGGCAGCAGUGAGGAAUAUUGGUCAAUGGGCGAGAGCCUGAACCAGCCAAGUAAGCGUGCAGGACGACGGCCCUAUGGGUUGUAAACUGCUUUUAUGCGGGGAUAAAGUGACGUACGUGUACGUUUUUGUAGGUACCGCAUGAAUAAGGACCGGCUAAUUCCGUGCCAGCCGCUGC
rnacentral:rRNA from 1 species